AUUGAACGCUAGCGGGAUGCCUUACACAUGCAAGUCGAACGGAGUGGCGAACGGGUGAGUAAUGUAUCGGAACGUGCCCAGCCGCGGGGGAUAACUACGCGCAAGCGUAGCUAAUACCGCCUACUCUCUGAGCGGCCGAUACUGGAUUAGCUAGUUGGUGGGGGAACGGCUCACCAAGGUGACGAUCCGUAGCUGGUUUGAGAGGACGACCAGCCACACUGGGACUGAGACACGGCCCAGACUCCUACGGGAGGCAGCAGUGGGGAAUUUUGGACAAUGGGGGAAACCCUGAUGCAGCCAUCCCGCGUGUACGAUGAAGGCCUUCGGGUUGUAAAGCACUUUUGGCAGGGAAGCGGUACCGGCAGAAGAAGCACCGGCUAACUACGUGCCAGCAGCCGCGGUAAUAC
rnacentral:rRNA from 1 species